AAGUCGUAACAAGGUUUCCGUAGGUGAACCUGCGGAAGGAUCAUUACCAAAUCCAAUAACAAACCACUGUGAACUGUAUCCAUGUCUUUGGGGGUAGAACGCUGUUGGAGUAAAAUCUAACAUUGUUCUCCCCCAAAAGGAAUGACACACACCUUCGGGUUGUGCGUUUUCCUCAUUGAACACCUUAAAACUUUGAUGGAUUGUUUUUCAAACAACUAACAAAGACAACUUUUAACGGUGGAUCUCUUGGCUCGU
rnacentral:misc_RNA from 1 species